AAUUAGCCCUGAUAGAAGUGGAAAUCCUUUUUCUUGUUAGUUCGAUUUCGCUUGAAAAGCGAGGAGGAGAACAAGAGAAAAAGAUUGAAACGGAUAGCAGGAAUAGCU
rnacentral:sRNA from 1 species